rnacentral:rRNA from 1 species
GACGGAGGGUUUGAUCCUGGCUCAGGACGAACGCUCGCGGCGUACCUAACGAAUGCGAGUCGAGCGGAGUGGGUUCAAAAGGUUGUCUUCGGACAACCGGGAGCCCACUUAGCGGCAAACGGGUGAGUAACACGUGGGUAACCUACCCCCCAGUGGGGGAUAGCCGGGGGAAACUCCGGGUAAUCCCCCAUACGCUGGCCGGACGCAUGUCUGGUCAGGAAAGGGUUCGCCCGCUGGGGGAUGGGCCCGCGGCCCAUCAGCUAGUUGGUGGGGUAACGGCCCACCAAGGCGACGACGGGUAGCCGGCCUGAGAGGGUGGUCGGCCACACGGGGACUGAGACAUGGUCCCGGCUCCUACGGGAGCUAGCAUCGGGGAAUCUUGCGCAAUGGGCGAAAGCCUGACGCAGUGUCGCCGCGUGGGGGAUGAAGGCCUUCGGGUCGUAAACCCCUGUCAGGAGGGAUGAAAGCCGGCUUUCGGGCCGGUUUGACAGUACCUCCAGAGGAAGCCCCGGCUAACUACGUGCCAGCAGCCGCGGUAAUACGUAGGGGGCGAGCGUUGUCCGGAUUUACUGGGCGUAAAGGGCGCGUAGGCGGUUCGGCAAGCGAGGGGUGAAAGCCCGCGGCUCAACCGCGGAAUUGCUCUUCGAACUGCCGAACUAGAGGCCGGGAGAGGGCAGUGGAAUUGCCGGUGUAGCGGUGAAAUGCGUAAAUAUCGGCAAGAACGCCAGUGGUGAAGACGGCUGCCUGGAACGGCCCUGACGCUGAGGCGCGAAAGCUGGGGGAGCGAACCGGAUUAGAUACCCGGGUAGUCCCAGCCCUAAACGAUGCGGGCUAGGUGUUGGAGGUGUCGACCCCUCCAGUGCUGCUAAGUUAACACGUUAAGCCCGCCGCCUGGGGAGUACGGCCGCAAGGCUGAAACUCAAAGGAAUUGACGGGGGCCCGCACAAGCGGUGGAGCAUGCGGGUUAAUGGGAUGAUACGCCAAGAACCUUACCAGGGCUUGACAUGCUGGUGGUAGCGACCCGAAAGGGAAGCGACCCCCGAAAGGGGGAGCCAGCACAGGUGGUGCAUGGUUGUCGUCAGCUCGUGCCGUGAGGUGUUGGGUUAAGUCCCGCAACGAGCGCAACCCCCGCCUGCUGUUGCCAGCGGACGGCUUCGGCCGUGCCGGGCUACUCAGCAGGGACCGCCGGCGUAAGCCGGAGGAAGGAGGGGACGACGUCAAAUCUGCAUGCCCCUUAUGCCCUGGGCUGCACGCGUGCUACAAUGGCGAGGACAAAGGGUUGCCAAGCCGUGAGGCGGAGCUAAUCCCCCAAACCUCGUCCCAGUUCGGAUCGGAGUCUGCAACUCGACUCCGUGAAGCCGGAAUCGCUAGUAACGGCGGAUCAGCAAUGCCGCCGUGAAUACGUUCCCGGGCCUUGUACACACCGCCCGUCAACUCAGGGGAGUCGGCAGCACCCGAAGUCCGCCCUUGAGGCGGCCGAAGGUGAGGCCGGCGACCAGGAGUAAGUCGUAACAAGGUAGCCGUAGCGGAAGCUGCGGCUGGAUCACCUCCUUUCU